rnacentral:rRNA from 1 species
UCGCUCCUACCGAUUGAGUGAUCCGGUGAAUAAUUCGGACCGCAGCAUCGUUCAGCUCCUGAACUUUGCAGUGGGAAGUUUAGUGAACCUUAUCACUUAGAGGAAGGAG